rnacentral:rRNA from 1 species
UGAACGCUGGCGGCAGGCCUAACACAUGCAAGUCGAACGGAGUUAUAUUGUAGCUUGCUAUGGUAUAACUUAGUGGCAGACGGGUGAGUAAUGUAUAGGAAUCUACCUAGUAGUACGGAAUAAUUGUUGGAAACGGCAACUAAUACCGUAUACGCCCUACGGGGGAAAAAUUUAUUGCUAUUAGAUGAGCCUAUAUUAGAUUAGCUAGUUGGUGGAGUAAUAGCCUACCAAGGCAAUGAUCUAUAGCUGAUCUGAGAGGAUGAUCAGCCACACUGGAACUGAGAUACGGUCCAGACUCCUACGGGAGGCAGCAGUGGGGAAUAUUGGACAAUGGGCGAAAGCCUGAUCCAGCCAUGCCGCAUGAGUGAAGAAGGCCUUUGGGUUGUAAAGCUCUUUUAGUGAGGAAGAUAAUGACGGUACUCACAGAAGAAGUCCUGGCUAACUCCGUGCCAGCAGCCGCGGUAAUACGGAGAGGGCUAGCGUUAUUCAGAAUUAUUGGGCGUAAAGGGCGCGUAGGCGGAUUAGUAAGUUAAAAGUGAAAUCCCAAGGCUCAACCUUGGAAUUGCUUUUAAAACUGCUAAUCUAGAGAUUGAAAGAGGAUAGAGGAAUUCCUAGUGUAGAGGUGAAAUUCGUAAAUAUUAGGAGGAACACCAGUGGCGAAGGCGUCUAUCGGGUUCAAAUCUGACGCUGAUGCGCGAAGGCGUGGGGAGCAAACACGAUUAGAGACCCUGGUAGUCCACGCU